AUUUAAAAGAAACACUAAUUAAUAGAGAAUCACAAUUUCGGAGAAAGUUUUAAAAUUUUAAUGAUAAUUAUUAAUGUUCAUCAAUACAUGCAUGUUACUUAAAUUUUUUAGCAACUUUUAUAAUCAAUUUUUGUUGUUGUAAUAAUUGAAAUUACAUAACAAAAUAUGACAUACCUCACAUGCAUCGCCACCAACUCAAUUCCGAGCUUGUUGAGUUCUUUCCACAUAAUUCUUUUCCACUUUGUGACAUACUCACCAAUGAUUCUUUCACGUAUCAUAGUAUUCUCAUUUGUGUUCGAUGGCUCUCCCGGGGAUCCCUCAUCGGAGAUCCUUGGGAAGAGGAUCAAAUUGGCCCUUGCAUUUUGGAUAAUGCUUGCAUCCUCUGUCUUAUCACGACUGUUGGCACAGAGUUAGUCGAUGACAAAAAUAUCUCUUUUGCUUAUCCCUAUCUCGAUAAGCCGAAACCAGAGUUCUUAUUUUCUGUUGUUGAGUAAUAGUUCGGAUAAGUAUUGAAUGAACCUCUCGAAAGCUUGAUAUGAUCGGAGAAUAUUGCUACCCAUUUCAAAUUUUUUUUUCCUUGGAGAGUUUGGACACAAAAAUAAAAAUCACUCUCCUCUCUCUCUAUCUAAAUUCUCUCAUUGUCUCUAUAAUGUUCCCAAG
rnacentral:lncRNA from 1 species